GCUGUCUCAACCACAAUUGGAAUGGAGGGCAUUCCACUUGCUACCAGGGAGGCUGCUGUUGCUAAAAUGCCUACUAUGAUUGAGAAACAAGCUACUGUGGCUGUUGAAGAGUCAUCAGUCAUUAUAUUCCUCGUCGAUGGCCAGGCAGGUCUAAAUGCUGCUGAUGUGGAGAUAGCAGAUUGGCUACGCAAGCACUACUCAGACAAAUGCAUUAUUCUUGCUGUAAACAAGUGUGAAUCUCCGCGCA
rnacentral:misc_RNA from 1 species